CGCGGAGUGGAGCAGUCCGGUAGCUCGUUGGGCUCAUAACCCAAAGGUCGUAGGUUCAAAUCCUGCCUCCGCAACCA
rnacentral:tRNA from 6 species